GGACGGUGAGGGUGAUCUGGCUGCGACAUCUGCCACCCCAUCGAUUGCCAGGGUUGAUUCGGCUGAUCUGGCUGGCUAGGCGGAUGUCCCUUUCCUCCUGCACCAUUCCAUGUGUGUCCCUCCCAAUGCCAUGCGUUUAGUGGAAGAGGAUGACCAUCCCAGGUAGCAGGAGUGUACCAUUCUUCGGUCAAGGGUAUACAAUAGCUGCGCUCCCCUGCUAGAACCUCCAACAAGCUCUUUUAUUUCAAAAAUAUUCUAUUAUAUAUAAUAUGCACCAGUUUAAAGGUUGUUUUCCCCACAACAGUUCUGUUUCU